GCUCAAAUUUGAAAGCUGGCCCCUUUGGGGUCCGCGUUGUAAUUUGUAGAGGAUGAUUCGGCGAGGGCUCCCGUCUAAGUCCCCUGGAACGGGGCGUCAUAGAGGGUGAGAAUCCCGUAUGUGAUGGGUUGCCUUAGCCAUGUGAAUCUCCUUCGACGAGUCGAGUUGUUUGGGAAUGCAGCUCUAAAUGGGAGGUAAAUUUCUUCUAAAGCUAAAUACCGGCCAGAGACCGAUAGCGCACAAGUAGAGUGAUCGAAAGAUGAAAAGCACUUUGGAAAGAGAGUUAAAAAGUACGUGAAAUUGUUGAAAGGGAAGCGCUUGCAGCCAGACUUGUCCGCAGUUGCUCAGCCGGUCUCCUGACCGGCGUACUCUUCUGCGGCCAGGCCAGCAUCAGUUCGGGCGGUCGGAUAAAGACCCUAGGAAUGUAGCUCCUCUCGGGGAGUGUUAUAGCCUGGGGUGGAAUGCGGCCAGCCUGGACUGAGGAUCUCGCUUCGGCUAGGAUGCUGGCGUAAUGGCUGUAAGCGGCCCGUCUUGAAACACGGACCAAGGAGUCUAACAUCUAUGCGAGUGUUUGGGUGUCAAACCCAUACGCGUAAUGAAAGUGAACGGAGGUGGGAACCCUCAGGUGCACCAUCGACCGAUCCUGAUGUCUUCGGAUGGAUUUGAGUAAGAGCAUAGCUGUUGGGACCCGAAAGAUGGUGAACUAUGCCUGAAUAGGGUGAAGCCAGAGGAAACUCUGGUGGAGGCUCGCAGCGGUUCUGACGUGCAAAUCGAUCG
rnacentral:rRNA from 1 species